CUCGUAGUUGGAUUUCUGGCAGGAGCGACCGGUCACACACUCUGUGCGUGAACUUGUGUUGUCUCUGGCCAUCCUUGGGGAGAUCCUGUUUGGCAUUAAGUUGUCGGGCAGGGGAUACCCAUCGUUUACUGUGAAAAAAUUAGAGUGUUUAAAGCAGGCUUAUGCCGUUGAAUAUAUUAGCAUGGAAUAAUAAGAUAGGACUUCGGAACUAUUUUGUUGGUUUGCGUUACGAAGUAAUGAUUAAUAGGGACAGUUGGGGGUAUUCGUAUUUCAUUGUCAGAGGUGAAAUUCUUGGAUUUCUG
rnacentral:rRNA from 1 species